AAGCUUGCCGUGCAAGUUUUGCAAGUUUGCAGAACAAGCUUGCCACAUGCUUAAAAUGUACAACUUAUGGCAAGCUGGCACCAAGAUUGAGUGCUAUCUGGGUGUUUAAUUACAAUUUUUUUGUAGAAAAAUGUUUCACUACUUUUUUAUUGUCGUGAUAAUGCACCACUGGCUCAAUUUGCUAAAAUUAGUAGCGACGGCUCUGGAACAAGAGAGAAGAGGUAAUCGACGGUGGCACGUUAAGCCACACAAACAUUUUCUGCUAACGUAAAAGUAUAUAUUCCCUUACGAUUCAAAAAUGUCAAUUGUUGUAUUUACAAGACAGUUUGAUUUUCUUAUCAAACCUUUUUCGCGUGGGUAAGAGUACAACAUACCAAAUUGUACAUGAAGUUUGUCCACUAAUAUGGGAAGUUUUAGCACCAACAUAUUUAUCUUGGAAAUUUGCUGAAGAGCUUACUAUUGUCGCACAGGUCUUCCAAACUAGGUGGAAUUUCCCUAAUUGCUUAGGAGCGCUGGACGGUAAAGAGAUUAGAAUUAUAUCUCCUCCGCGCUCAGGCAGCAUGUUCUACAACUACAAAAAGUUUUUAAGUUUUAAAGUCCUGGCGAUGUGUGAUGCCUUUUACCGUUUUACGUGGGCAAACGUAGGCGAUUUUGGUACUAGCAGCGAUUUGUCAAGCUUUCGGGAAACUCAAUUAUAUCAUGCGUUGGAACAUAAUGAAGUCGACCUUCCUCAAGACAGUGAUCUACUACGUUCAAACAUCAGAAUGUCAUACUUUUUCAUUGGUGGUGCCAUUUUCGAAAUUAAAAGGUAUUUCAUGAUUCCUUACAACAGGAACGUCCGUCUUACUGCUGAAGAAAGGACUUUCAAUAAAAGAUUGUCCAGGGCUAGAAAUUGGAACGAAGAAGCCUUCGGAAUUUGGGGUAGCAAAUUUGAAAUUUUGAAUAAUCACCUAGAUUUCUCGUUGAAGCAUUCGAUAAUGUAUUAUUCAAGCAUAAUUAUGCUUACACAAUUUUGUGCUCACCCAUGAAUUGCUGAAUCCUACUGAGAAUUAUCACUACAAUGUUCCCGUUCGAAUCGCUGAAGGCAACGGUGCAAUUCGUGCAUGUCGAAACCUGAACAUUCGGAAUAAUUAUAUUGCUCCUUAAGAUGUGUAUGGUCAGCGAGAUACAUUAGCAGCUUAUUUCUUUACUCCUGAAGGUGUACUUCGUUAUCUUUGAGGUCCAAAAAUUGAUCAACAAACAAUAAAAAAAUAAAUGCUAUGUAUGUAAUGAUGAAAUCGAUUGCUGAAAAAUCAGAAAGCAGUCCUGUAAUUCAAAAUUUUUUUGACGAUGAAGAGCUAAGAAUAUUUCCAGUUACAAAUAAAGAGCAACUUACGGAUGCUGAAGAAAAAAUGAAAUCAAGACGUUUUCGUGAUAAAGUUAUUAAUGCUCUUUGUUCAAUUGGAAGAAGCCAUUCCCUUAAAAUCACAAUAAAAAACAAGCUAGAUGAACUUCUUACGUAUGAGUUAGGGAAAAAUUAUACAUUUUUGGGUAGACUAAGAAAGAAGCCAGCUUUCAAGCCUCUGAAAAUAAACCUCCUUGUAUUCAAGGCAGUCAGAGAAAUAAUACCUAAUGUAGGUAGAGAGGAGGUGUAUGUUGGAAUUAAAAGCUGGUUACACCAAUGAUGCAACAGACAUCAUCGUUUAUUGGAAAAAAAGAAAACGAAGUGACAUUAGAAGAGGAAAUUGAAAGUAUCCAUUCGGAAGAAGAAUAAUUUAUUAAUAAUUAAUUUACUUCAAGAAGAAGAAAGAAAUAAAAAUAGUUUUCUUUUUUUCAAAAAUCAAAAAUUUAUUUUAUUGUUAUAUCGUCAUCUCGUUUUGUUAAUUAUUAAAAAAAAUAUUAUUUUAAAUUAAUAAUUUUAUUUUAUCCCUUUGUUCCAUUAUUCAUUACACAGGCACACAAAAAAAAAGUUGUCUGUUUCUUGAACUAGACAUAUAUUUCCUAUAGUAUUUUGGACCGCUGAAACCGAAUCU